CCGGCGCACGGGUGCGUAACGCGUAUGCAAUCUACCUUUCACAGAGGGAUAGCCCAGAGAAAUUUGGAUUAAUACCUCAUAGUAUUAUGAAAUGGCAUCAUUUUAUAAUUAAAGUCACAACGGUGAAAGAUGAGCAUGCGUCCCAUUAGCUAGUUGGUAAGGUAACGGCUUACCAAGGCUACGAUGGGUAGGGGUCCUGAGAGGGAGAUCCCCCACACUGGUACUGAGACACGGACCAGACUCCUACGGGAGGCAGCAGUGAGGAAUAUUGGACAAUGGGCGCAAGCCUGAUCCAGCCAUGCCGCGUGCAGGAUGACGGUCCUAUGGAUUGUAAACUGCUUUUGCACAGGAAGAAACAACUCUACGUGUAGAGUCUUGACGGUACUGUGAGAAUAAGGAUCGGCUAACUCCGUGCCAGCAGCCGCGGUAAUACGGAGGAUCCAAGCGUUAUCCGGAAUCAUUGGGUUUAAAGGGUCCGUAGGCGGUUUAGUAAGUCAGUGGUGAAAGCCCAUCGCUCAACGGUGGAACGGCCAUUGAUACUGCUAGACUUGAAUUAUUAGGAAGUAACUAGAAUAUGUAGUGUAGCGGUGAAAUGCUUAGAGAUUACAUGGAAUACCAAUUGCGAAGGCAGGUUACUACUAAUGGAUUGACGCUGAUGGACGAAAGCGUGGGUAGCGAACAGGAUUAGAUACCCUGGUAGUCCACGCCGUAAACGAUGGAUACUAGCUGUUGGAAGCAAUUUCAGUGGCUAAGCGAAAGUGAUAAGUAUCCCACCUGGGGAGUACGUUCGCA
rnacentral:rRNA from 1 species